AGACUUGCCAUGAGACGGAAUAGACCUGCCACAAAUAUAGGUUUUAUCCUGUUCACUGAGACAAAGUCUCCCUUGUAUUUGUACGGCGUACCACUACGAGCAUUGUUGCAAUACUACAUUCCACCACACAACAACAUUCACAAUGCAGAUGCUAACAACAAACAUUCAGCUAGCGAUCCUUGAGAUGAUGCAUGCUCUAAGCACUCCUUAGGUGAAGGAUGACGCAUAUGCACAUUACAACAAACAAUUCUAUCAUUUGAAAGUGUUUCCUACCCGAAAACUUUAUUUUGAAAUACUAAGAAUUGAUAAAGCCGUAAAAUCAUUUGAAAACAUCCUACCACAUGAAGACUCAUUUUUUUAAAAAAAAAGGGGCUACCACAAGAGGUAGAAAACCACAUAUUACAAAACCGAAACCACGAUAUCACUGGAAAUCCCAAAAGCAUCACCAUUCCAAAUAUUCACAAUUAAAUGAUUAUCCACAACAAGGAUUAUUCGAAAACAGACAAUCAAGUAAACAGAUUACCGAACCACAAUUUCUAAUUUAAUAACAAUAAAUGAAAGGGGUCGAAUCAGAAUAACCAUAACCAAUGCAGACGUGUCGGGACCUCUAAAGCUCACUAGCUAUUGCACCUCACGCGCUCCCGACUCCCACCACCGAGAUCACCUGAAAGGGGGGGUGACAAAUCAACAAGGGUCUCCCAGUAGGUACCGCGAGCCGAUGAAGGCAAGUGCACUCAUUGGCGAGAGAAACAACUGAAAUAGAUAGAUAGUCAUGUACAAUAGCUGAUAAAGAAGGAUAGAUAUGAACAAUAGUAAUCACCUACCGCUACUAUAAAUAAUAAACAUAUGCAUCAACUGUAUGAAAACUGGUAUCCAAACACCUCGCCAUAUAGGUCUAAAGAUCGCAGAAGUGUCACAGUAUGCUCACCCACCUAGAAUAAAACCCCAGCUAGCACUUUGCAGGGGCCUACGGGUCGCAGAGACGAUCGCUUUUUCGGAAAAAAACACCCACACGGUGGCCAAACCGCUGGUGUACGUAAUAUGCUACAUGAGCUAUGACGAUCAACGCGAAAUACUCAAAAGUCAAUCAAGAUGGCAAAUGGCCGAGAGUAAGCCAACAAUCCACACCUUUCUAAACUAGAUCACCAGAUCGACGAACCGAUCGACACCGACCAAUCAGGUCUCACAGAUAGAGGUCAUGCAAUAAAUCCAACACCUUUCUACUACGAAUAUGUGAACGAGCAGAAGUAGAGUAAACAAACCAGAAGUCUAGUAGUAAAAUGCUCAUCAAUAGAUGUAAGUUAACGGGAAAGAGUAAGAGAAGAAUAUUAUCGAGCUAGCACCACUGUACCGACUCUGGAUCAAAACACCAACCUGUAAUCGUCGCAGCGUCUAAUUCUCAAGGCACGCUGGGACGUCGACUGGACCUAUAAAAGAUCCACCGAGUCAAGAUCCACUAAGUCGACUCCAAAACACUAAACCCACAACCUCGAAACUGCCGAGAGUUUCAAAAAGUCUACCGAAACACUUCCGAUUGCCAUGAAGUGUUUCGGAAGGGACCAAAGUACAAUGCUAGUCACUCGCUGUCCCAAAACGCACCAACAUAGGUGUUCGGACAGCAAACACAAGCCCAAAGACGACAGAUAAUAACAACGCACUUAAAGCUAUUUCGGGUUCCCAGAAAUGCUGUUUUCGGCACCGGAACCCUCCGUCGCUCACUCGUUGUCUUCAGAAACUCGAGACAGUGAGUGUAGCCAGCCAAUGAGGCUCCACGACAUACCUGGGGUGAUAACACUAUUAACAAGUGGACCCUACAAUGGUCACCGUGAUCCGCUGACGAUUUUGUCGGAAAACGCUUCGAAAAUCAAACUUGAUUCUGUGAGGGCAUCAGAAGUUUGGACAACCAGUCCAGAGGGUCACAUCAAGUGGCCUUAUGCUGCCCAAGACAUCUCCAGCCGUCAGAAUUAUAAACAUGCCUCUAAACAAUAGAUAUAAGCUAAAAAUACACAUUAAAAAGGGCCGAUAGAGCACACCGUGCGUUUGCGAGACCAACCGAGGGCACCAAUGGAUAGGCCUCGACGCAGUGAAGCCCGUGCUCGCUGUCCCAGGCAAGAAAAAUAGCCGAGGAAUGCUCCGGGGCCAAGAUUACAGCAGCCAUAUAAAGGCUUCAGGAGCGACAAUGUAAAAACAGCGAGCCGCAGUUUUUUCGAUAGAAAUUGAGGUGAGCACGGUGAUCAGUGACAACUCUAGGUCAUCGUGCUCACCUUCCGGAGAGUUGGGGAGUUCUUGGAUGGCCGGAACAGCGAGAAGGGCCAAAAACACUACUCUAUUUCGGGCAUGGGAGGGAGCUCUUGGCUUCGGUCGGCCAUCAGCGGCACGGCGGCGCGCGCGCGGCCUAGGGGUGAGUGCGGGGGAGAGGGGGAAUGUGGUGCUCACCUUGGCCUGUGGCGGGGAGCGGCGGUGGCGUUGCUGGAAGGAUCUCGGCCCAACCAAACUAGGGCAUGGCCUGGGAGGCUCUUCCCAGCGACGGCAGCGCGUCCCUCAAGAUCGGAGGGAGGCGGCGGUGCUGCUCAGGGGUGGCGGCGCUGUAAGGAGGUGGAGCCGCCACUGCCAGGGAUGGCCCUGAGGUGGUUGUAGAGCCCGCUGCAGCACUCGACGGCGACGGGGUUGCUGAGAGGGGGGGAAGGAUCGGAGCCCUGUGCUGCUGGAGGUGAGUUCCGCAGGGUGCUGCUGCCCCCUGAGGUAACCCGAGCCAAAGGAGAAGGGAGAGGGAGAGGGAGAGGGAAACUUGAGAGAGAGGGAAAGGGAGAUGGUUGCAGCAGGAUGGCUGGCCGGAAAGGGAUCGUUGGCGGCCGGGGUCAUGCUCGGCGCUGUCAGAGGAGGGAGGGGAGGUGGCUAGGGCUCGUGGGAGGAGAGGAAGUGGCUAAGGUUAGGGUUUAGAAGGUGGAAACCCUAGAUGCCUACUUUAUACAUAAGUGUAUAAUUGGAGGAAACCGCCCUGAAAACUCAAAAUUCCAACUCGAGUCCCUCAGGCCACAUGUUAUACGCGCGAACGUGCCUCCACAAGCGAUCCCUCGCAAUUCGGUACAUAAAAUAUUAGAUUUUUCGCGGAAAAACCCAAUAUGCUAUCUCGACCCUUUCUCGAACAACGUGUGUCACGACCCGCGACCACCCACCAAUUUGGCCGGGUCGCGGCGCCGCCGACAGACCGCUGAACGGACAGAGUCUCCCCUGUACGUCCAAGGCGUCGCAAUCAAAACAAUACGAGAGGUUCCAAACAGGAACAGUAUUCAUUCACAGAUUGCAUAAGGAAGUAUCAAAAACAUAACUACUAAGUUAUUACAGCAUUCAACUUAGAUGCAUUUUACAACAUAAUUUUUCUUUUACAAUUAACCUCCAAAUACAAUCAUAAUCAUUACAGAUUCUUUUACAACUUAAAUAAAAGUUUGUUCUUGUUUUUAAACUCCCCAAGCUAGACCACCAACUCGGGUAUUGCUAUCUCAGUCUCUGGGUAGGACGCUAUCUGCAGAUCUACGUCCUCGCCUUGCGCCGCCGCGCCGCACAGGUGUACCUGUACCCCCAAAACAGCAACACGGGGGUGAGACUAUUGUCCAUAGUCCUCAUUGGGUUUAGCCACCCAAGAGAACAAGCUCAGCCAACAGGUCUAACGAGGCACUGCAACAUGUUAGAUCAACAAUAUACAACAGAUAUAUAUUCAAUUGAAAUACAUGUCAUGCCUCACGAAAUGCAAUAUGCAAUACCUGUAAUCAUGCAAGUAGGUUACUUUAACACUACUUAUGUUCUUAAUCAUUCUUUACUCCUUGCCAUUUAAUGCUUACUUUUAGCUCUUAGCUAUUCCUUUCAUUAUCUAUUUAUUGUUCUUUAGCCAUUCUUUACUCUUUAGCUAUUCAUUAUCGUUUAGCUGUUCUUUACUCUUAACAUUCUUGAACCAUGCUAUCUCUUAGCCUUUGGCAUUCUACUCUAAGGUCACUUUACCUUAGUCAACAAAGCCACCCGACUCGGUCUUGAGUCAAUCGAUCGCGGAUAGUCUGCGCACUGUCUAGCUCGAGGUGAAGGAACUCUCACAUGCACCUCAGCUGGCAACAGCUCACCGUACUCCUGUCCUAGCUGUUUGGCGGCGAACGAAUCGCACCUCACCCAACAACGGCCUAGGUUCAAUGGCUUAGCCACCCGGCGGCGAAAUCGUCGCACACACGCCACGACAGUGGUUUAGUCAACAGGCGGUAGGAUACACAAACUGGCUAACCAUCCGGCGGCGAAAUCGUCGCACACACGCCACGACAAUGGUUCUCUAGCCCCUGGGCGGCGAAAUCGUCGCACACACCCGACACUAUUUUGGGUGUAUCCUUUUAGCCUUGGGAUUCCGGAAUCCAUUUCACAUCACACAGGGGUUGGUCUUAACCCUAUGGAACUGACCUCUCUAGGUCUAAGCCUUUACUCAACCUAAGUUCACCCAUUAGGUUUAUUGCUUUCACAUUCUUAACCUAGGUUUAGUACACUAGGAUCAUUAUUCUUUCCAACCUAGGUUCACUUGACUCUAGGUUAAGUACUUUUCAUUUCACGACCUAUGUUUAUUAACACUAGGUUAGAUGCCACUCGAUCUAUUUGAUUCUAGGUCUACUCACGACCUAUGUUCCUUAACACUAAGUUAGGUGCCACUCGAUCUAAUUCACAUACUAAUUGUCCAAUUAAGCAUUCUACUCAUUCUAGAGUUAUCAAUUCUCAUUUUCCAAUGUUAUCUCUCUAAUCAAGCUAGAGUUACCAACCAAGUUCAUAUGCAUAUAUAAUCUCACAAUGCUAAGCAUGCAUCUAUAAUCUUAUAAUGCUAAUCAUGCGUUUAUAAUCUCAUAUAUCAUUUAUAUGCAUCUACUUAGCAUUUACAUCAUACUUUAAACAUGCAUCAUAUAACUUGCUCAUUAUGCAUUCUAGCAUUUUUACAUUACAUUAUUUAGCAUUAUGUAACUUGUUCAUAAUGCAUUCUAUUUAGCAUUUACAUCAUACUAUCAACAUGCAUUAUUUAGCUACAUGCAUCAUUUACAUGCUUCAUUUACAUUUAUAUGCAUCAACAUGGAUUCUUAAUUUCUUAGACAUAAAGGCGACCUAGUUGCUUCGGUAAACCAACCCACCUUAACACGCGCUCCGAUUGCUUGUAGUCACUUGCAAUCGGCCUCCCGCGGCAACCGUUGCCCGGUUUGGCCCGAACUCAUGCGCGACUUCCAAACGACCUCCGAACCGCGAUCCGUCUUUUCCGGAGUUUAUUCCUUGACUCCAAGGUGCUCUAGUUCCGAUCUCAUGAUUUUUGGACCUUUAUUCCGCGUGCUGCGGCUAUCUGUACCAAAACCGACCGUUUCGUCAAUAACUUCGCGUACGCUCGUCGGAUUGCCGAACCGAGCAUUUCAACGCGUUCGUUAGGUCCCCAAUUAGGUUUCUAUAAGGCCAAUUUGCCUUAGAAACACCCGGAGGCAAAAGCCCCAAUUUCGGUGCCCUAACAAUGCCAUAAUCAAAUUUCUUGGGAUUGAUCUCAUAGCUAAGCAUAAUCGAGCUUAGAAUCACCCAAGAAGUUCUCUAAACUUGUUUCUAUCUCAUUAGAAUCAUCUCUAGGGCAUUUAGAACAAACCCUAGGAUUCCACCAUUAGAGCACUACGAAGAACACUUGGAUUCCAUGGUGUUCUUGGCCUCAAGAGGCUUCUAAAUAUAUAAGAAGCUCCAAAACUCUAAGUAUUAGGGUUUUAAAACCAAACCCUAACCUUAAUCCUACAAGAAACCACUACUACUUCAAGAAGCUUACCUCUUGAGCUCCUCCAAUGGCCGAAGAAGAAGACGAAGGUGAUGAAGAUCUCCCUCCAAGCUCCUUCUCCUUCCUUUCUUCUCUUUUUUCUUCUUUCUCUUUUCUUCCCUUGCUCACGGUUGAGAGAGUGAGAGACACACGAGAGAGGGAGAGAGAGAGGGCUGGGGUCAUAACAUAUUGUAACAAUUGCCAGAAGACCCCCCAAACAUUCAUAUUUGCAACAGAUCAAUUCUGUGCUGUUCUGCCAAAGUGUACCGGUACACUUUCCC
rnacentral:lncRNA from 1 species